GUUCCUACGGGGCGCAGCAGUGGGGGAUAUUGCACAAUGGGGGAAACCCUGAUGCAGCGACGCCGCGUGGGCGAAGAAGUAUUUCGGUAUGUAAAGCCCUAUCAGCAGGGAAGAAGAAAUGACGGUACCUGAGUAAGAAGCACCGGCUAAAUACGUGCCAGCAGCCGCGGUAAUACGUAUGGUGCAAGCGUUAUCCGGAUUUACUGUGUGUAAAGGGAGCGCAGGCGGCACGGCAAGCCUGAUGUGAAAGCCCGCGGCCCAACCGCGCGCCUGCAUUGGUAACUCCCGGACUGGAGUCCC
rnacentral:rRNA from 1 species